CAGCAGGGAAGAAGCGAAAGUGACGGUACCUGCAGAAGAAGCGCCGGCUAACUACGUGCCAGCAGCCGCGGUAAUACGUAGGGCGCAAGCGUUGUCCGGAAUUAUUGGGCGUAAAGAGCUCGUAGGCGGCUUGUCACGUCGGAUGUGAAAGCCCGGGGCUUAACCCCGGGUCUGCAUUCGAUACGGGCUAGCUAGAGUGUGGUAGGGGAGAUCGGAAUUCCUGGUGUAGCGGUGAAAUGCGCAGAUAUCAGGAGGAACACCGGUGGCGAAGGCGGAUCUCUGGGCCAUUACUGACGCUGAGGAGCGAAAGCGUGGGGAGCGAACAGGAUUAGAUACCCUGGUAGUCCACGCCGUAAACGUUGGGAACUAGGUGUUGGCGACAUUCCACGUCGUCGGUGCCGCAGCUAACGCAUUAAGUUCCCCGCCUGGGGAGUACGGCCGCAAGGCUAAAACUCAAAGGAAUUGACGGGGGCCCGCACAAGCAGCGGAGCAUGUGGCUUAAUUCGACGCAACGCGAAGAACCUUACCAAGGCUUGACAUAUACCGGAAAGCAUCAGAGAUGGUGCCCCCCUUGUG
rnacentral:rRNA from 1 species